CUACGGGUUGCUGCAGUUAGGAAUCUUCUACAAUGCGCGCAAGCGUGAUAGAGUGAGCCAGAGUGUUUUCCUAUUUGGAAGACUUUUGCCAAAUGUAAAAAGUUUGGCGAAUAAGGACUGGGUAAGACUAGUGCUCAGCCGCCGCGGUAAUACUAGCGGUCCAAGUCGCAGCCAUUUUUAUUGGGUCUAAAACAUCCGUAGCUUGUUUAAUAAGUUCUCUGUGAAAUCCCAUGUCUUAAGCAUGGGGCGUGCAGGGAAUACUGUUAAGCUAGAGACUGGAAGACGUAAGAAGUAUGGUCAAAGUAGUGGUAAAAUACUUUAAUCUUGGCCAGACUCACAAUAGCGAAGGCAUCUUACGAGGACAGUUCUGACAGUAAAGGAUGAAGGCUAGGGGCGCAAAACGGAUUAGAUACCCUAGUAGUC
rnacentral:rRNA from 1 species